CUAGGAAUCUUGGGAAUGGGCGAAAGCCUGACCCAGCAACGCCGCGUGGGCGAUGAAGGCCUUCGGGUCGUAAAGCCCUUUUGAGGGGGACGAUGAUGACGGUACCCCUCGAAUAAGCCACGGCUAACUACGUGCCAGCAGCCGCGGUAAUACGUAGGUGGCAAGCGUUGUCCGGAUUUACUGGGCGUAAAGGGCGUGCAGGCGGUUUGUUUAGUCUAGGGUGAAAGCUCCCGGCUUAACUGGGAGAGGUCCUUGGAUACUGGCAAACUUGAGGGAGGCAGAGGAAAGUGGAAUUCCCGGUGUAGUGGUGAUAUGCGUAGAUAUCGGGAGGAACACCAGUGGCGAAGGCGGCUUUCUGGGCCUUACCUGACGCUGAGACGCGAAAGCGUGGGGAGCGAACCGG
rnacentral:rRNA from 1 species